rnacentral:tRNA from 1 species
GCCCCGGUAGCUCAACCGGCAGAGCGGUUGAUCUGUAAUCAAUUGGUUAAGGGUUCAAAUCCCUUCCGGGGCU